CAAAAACAGCUAGACAACUAUCAAGGAACCUGCCCCGAUAGUCAUGUAAGUUCUUUUCUAUUUUCCCUAAGUGUCAGCCGGUUUGAGAAAUAAAGGGACAGAGUACAAAAGAGAGAAAU